rnacentral:rRNA from 1 species
CCUACGGGAGGCAGCAGUGGGGAAUAUUGGACAAUGGGGGCAACCCUGAUCCAGCCAUGCCGCGUGUGUGAAGAAGGCCCUCGGGUUGUAAAGCACUUUCAGUGAGGAAGAACGCCUGGUGGUUAAUACCCAUCAGGAAAGACAUCACUCACAGAAGAAGCAUCGGCUAACUCCGUGCCAGCAGCCGCGGUAAUACGGAGGGUGCGAGCGUUAAUCGGAAUUACUGGGCGUAAAGCGCGCGUAGGUGGCUUGAUAAGCCGGUUGUGAAAGCCCCGGGCUCAACCUGGGAACGGCAUCCGGAACUGUCAAGCUAGAGUGCAGGAGAGGAAGGUAGAAUUCCCGGUGUAGCGGUGAAAUGCGUAGAGAUCGGGAGGAAUACCAGUGGCGAAGGCGGCCUUCUGGACUGACACUGACACUGAGGUGCGAAAGCGUGGGUAGCAAACAGGAUUAGAUACCCUAGUAGUC